rnacentral:misc_RNA from 1 species
AUGAAUAAACUUGGUCAAGCUGUUGCUGGUUCUUCGGAACAUGUGCACGCUUGCCACCAAUUUUAACCACCUGUGCACCUUUUGUAGACUGAAAACGUUUCUCGAGGCAACUCGGAUUGAGAACUGCUGCGCGCAAGCCGGCUCUUCUUGUGUUUCUCAGUCUAUGUUUUCAUAUACUCCUAAUGUAUGUAUCUGAAUGUAUUGCUAGGCCUUAGCGCCUUUAAAAACAAUA